AAUAAGCUAUUUAAGAGCGUACGGUGGAUGCCUUGGCUCUCAGAGGCGAUGAAGGACGUGAUAAGCUGCGAUAAGCUGCGGGGAUUGGCACACACAAUUUGAUCCGUAGAUUUCCGAAUGGGGCAACCCACUAUAUUGAAGAUAUAGUAUCCGUUAAGGAAGCAAACCCAGGGAACUGAAACAUCUAAGUACCUGGAGGAAUAGAAAACAAAAGUGAUUCCGCUAGUAGUGGCGAGCGAACGCGGAACAGCCCAAACCAAAAUUGUUUCGGCAAUUUUGGGGUUGUAGGA
rnacentral:rRNA from 1 species